rnacentral:miRNA from 1 species
ACCCGCCCGUCUCCCCACAG